rnacentral:rRNA from 1 species
CACGGGGGUUGCGAGCGUUGUCCGGAAUUACUAGGCGUAAAGGGCAGGCAGGCGGAUCCAUAAGUUUAUCGUUUAAGGCGUCGGCUUAACCGGCGUAGGGCGGUAGAUACUGUGGAUCUGGAAUGCGGUUGGGGAAGACAGAAUUCCUGGUGUAGCGGUGGAAUGCGCAGAGAUCAGGAGGAAUACCGAAGGCGAAGGCAGUCUUCCAAGCCGUUAUUGACGCUCAACUGCGAAGGUGUGGGUAUCAGACAGGAUUAGAUACCCUGGUAGUCCCU